AUUUUGGACAAUGGGGGAAACCCUGAUCCAGCCAUCCCGCGUGUAUGAUGAAGGCCCUCGGGUUGUAAAGUACUUUUGGCAGAGAAGAAAAGGUACCUCCUAAUACGAGGUACUGCUUACGGUAUCCGCCGAAUAACCACCGGCUAACUACGUGCCAGCAGCCGCGGUAAUACGUAGGGUGCAAGCGUUACUCGGAAUUACUGGGCGUAAAGCGUGUGUAGGCGGUUCGGAAAGGAAGAUGAGAAAUCCCAGGGCUCAACCUUGGAACUGCAUUUUUAACUGCCGAGCUAGAGUAUGACAGAGGGGGGUAGAAUUCCACGUGUAGCAGUGGAAUGCGUAGAUAUGUGGAGGAAUACCGAUGGCGAAGGCAGCCCCCUGGGAUAAUACUGACGCUCAGACACGAAAGCGUGGGGAGCAAACA
rnacentral:rRNA from 1 species